CGUCUGAAUCUAUAGCUCCAGAGAAAAUAGAGAAAGCGGUUUCCAUUUCUUACACUCUUGGCUCCUGCAGGCUUCCAUCAUUGCCGCUGCUGCUGUCACCACUACUACCACUGCAGGGUUGCCUAGAAGCCGAUGAUCACUGUAAAGUUCCCCAAUGAAUUAAGUUUGGGCCAGGAGAUACUAAAGGAUACAAAAAUGGCAGACUCACUGCUGUUCUGGAGGUUGUGAAAAAUCUUUUUAA
rnacentral:lncRNA from 1 species